rnacentral:rRNA from 1 species
AGGAUUAACGCUGGCGGCGUGCCUAACACAUGCAAGUCGAACGAGGUAGCAAUACCUAGUGGCAGACGGGUGAGUAGCGCGUGGUCAACCUACCGUUGAGUGGGGGAUAACUAGCCGAAAGGUUAGCUAAUACCGCAUACGUCUCCGAGGGGCAUCCCUUGGCGAUAAAAGGAGCAAUCCGCUCGAUGACGGGACCGCGUCCCAUUAGCUAGUUGGUGGGGUAACGGCCUACCAAGGCGUCGAUGGGUAGCUGGUUUGAGAGAGCGACCAGCCACACUGGGACUGAGAUACGGCCCAGACUCCUACGGGAGGCAGCAGUGAGGAAUUUUCCGCAAUGGGCGAAAGCCUGACGGAGCGACGCCGCGUGUGGGAAGAAGGCCUUCGGGUCGUAACCACUGUCGAAGGGGAAGAUAAUGACGGUACCUUGGAGGAAGCCCCGGCUAACUACGCGCCAGCAGCCGC